rnacentral:rRNA from 1 species
AGAGCUCGUAGGCGGUCUGUCGCGUCUGGUGUGAAAAACUCGAGGCUCAACCUCGAGCUUGCAUCGGGUACGGGCAGACUAGAGUGCGGUAGGGGAGACUGGAAUUCCUGGUGUAGCGGUGGAAUGCGCAGAUAUCAGGAGGAACACCGAUGGCGAAGGCAGGUCUCUGGGCCGCAACUGACGCUGAGGAGCGAAAGCAUGGGGAGCGAACAGGAUUAGAUACCCUGGUAGUCCAUGCCGUAAACGUUGGGCACUAGGUGUGGGGCUCAUUCCACGAGUUCCGUGCCGCAGCAAACGCAUUAAGUGCCCCGCCUGGGGAGUACGGCCGCAAGGCUAAAACUCAAAGGAAUUGACGGGGGCCCGCACAAGCGGCGGAGCAUGCGGAUUAAUUCGAUGCAACGCGAAGAACCUUACCAAGGCUUGACAUGCACGAGAAGCCACCAGAGAUGGUGGUCUCUUUGGACACUCGUGCACAGGUGGUGCAUGGUUGUCGUCAGCUCGUGUCGUGAGAUGUUGGGUUAAGUCCCGCAACGAGCGCAACCCUCGUCCCAUGUUGCCAGCGGGUUAUGCCGGGGACUCAUGGGAGACUGCCGGGGUCAACUCGGAGGAAGGUGGGGAUGACGUCAAAUCAUCAUGCCCCUUAUGUCUUGGGCUUCACGCAUGCUACAAUGGCCGGUACAAAGGGCUGCGAUACCGUAAGGUGGAGCGAAUCCCAAAAAGCCGGUCUCAGUUCGGAUUGGGGUCUGCAACUCGCCCCA